GUGCUCACUUCAGCAGCACAUAUACUAAAAUUGGAACGAUACAGAGAAGAUUAGCAUGGCCCCUGCACAAGGAUGACACACAAAUUUGUGAAGCGUUCCAUAUUUUU